GAGGAGAGAUCAACAUUUGGGGGUACCAACAAUAUCCCUUAUGGAUUGAUGUGCAAAUUCUGGAACUUCGGUCAUAUCAAUACAUUUCUGGCAAGUUCCUUUCGGCAGUUCAAAGGCACUAUAAGAUCAGGACUCUCUGUGCGGAAAGGAUUUUACAUCAGGAGAUAAACUCACAGGGGCAAUUAGGCCCCCAAAACGGUCUUUGGGCAUGCCUGACCUAAGCUCACGAUGUCUAUCCUCCUGGCUAAUUCCUCUCUGCGUGACGCCAAUACCUCUUCUCCUGCACAAAAGCUGCUUUCUCUCCUGCCCAUCUUUCGCGUGGGGCCAAAAAGCUGCCUUGAGCUGCCUGUGGGGACACACCCCUUCGGAAAAACAAGAGGAAUGUGUAGGAAAGUAACUUCCAGUGUAUUUCUUAAUUUUUAAAAUCAAAGGAUCAUGUGUGUGUCUGUGUAUCAAUGCCAUUAAAUAGAUGACAACAAA